CCUACGGGAGGCUGCAGUGAGGAAUAUUGGUCAAUGAGCGCGAGCCUGAACCAGCCAAGUCGCGUGAGGGAAGACGGUCCUAUGGAUUGUAAACUUCUUUUGUCGGGGAGCAAAGGACGCUACGCAUGGCGUUCCGAGAGUACCUGAAGAAAAAGCAUCGGCUAACUCCGUGCCAGCAGCCGCGGUAAUACGGAGGAUGCGAGCGUUAUCCGGAUUUAUUGGGUUUAAAGGGUGCGCAGGCGGUAGUUCAAGUCAGCGGUAAAAUUGAGGGGCUCAACCUCAUCGAGCCGUUGAAACUGGUUUUCUUGAGUGAGCGAGAGGUAUGCGGAAUGCGUGGUGUAGCGGUGAAAUGCAUAGAUAUCACGCAGAACUCCGAUUGCGAAGGCAGCAUACUGG
rnacentral:rRNA from 1 species